CAAAACCUAUAUGGCCCCUGGAUUGGACUGCGGCCGAUCAGGCUGUUGGUGAGGUAAUGGCCCACCAAACCUGUAACCGGUACGGGCUCUGAGAGGAGGAGCCCGGAGAUGGGCACUGAGACAAGGGCCCAGGCCCUAUGGGGCGCAGCAGGCGCGAAACCUCUGCAAUAGGCGAAAGCCUGACAGGGUUACUCUGAGUGAUCUCCGUUAAGGAGAUCUUUUGGCACCUCUAAAAAUGGUGCAGAAUAAGGGGUGGGCAAGUCUGGUGUCAGCCGCCGCGGUAAUACCAGCACCCCGAGUGGUCGGGACGUUUAUUGGGCCUAAAGCAUCCGUAGCCGGUUCUACAAGUCUUCCGUUAAAUCCACCUGCUCAACAGAUGGGCUGCGGAAGAUACUAUAGAGCUAGGAGGCGGGAGAGGCAAGCGGUACUCGAUGGGUAGGGGUAAAAUCCGUUGAUCCAUUGAAGACCACCAGUGGCGAAGGCGGCUUGCCAGAACGCGCUCGACGGUGAGGGAUGAAAGCUGGGGGAGCAAACCGGAUUAGAUACCCGGGUAGUCCCAGCUGUAAACGAUGCAGACUCGGUGAUGAGUUGGCUUCAUGCCAACUCAGUGCCGCAGGGAAGCCGUUAAGUUUGCCGCCUGGGGAGUACGGUCGCAAGACUGAAACUUA
rnacentral:rRNA from 1 species